CCUACGGGAGGCAGCAGUAAGGAAUAUUGGUCAAUGGGGGCAACCCUGAACCAGCCAUGCCGCGUGCAGGAUGAAGGCCCUAUGGGUCGUAAACUGCUUUUAUACCGGAGAAAACCACCCUACGUGUAGGGUGUUGAUAGUAUGGUAAGAAUAAGCAUCGGCUAACUUCGUGCCAGCAGCCGCGGUAAGACGAAGGAUGCAAGCGUUAUCCGGAUUCAUUGGGUUUAAAGGGUGCGUAGGCGGACCUGUAAGUCAGUGGUGAAAUCUCUUUGCUUAACAAAGAAACUGCCAUUGAUACUGCAAGUCUAGAGUAUAGAUGACGUUGGCGGAAUAUGACAUGUAGUGGUGAAAUACUUAGAUAUGUCAUAGAACACCGAUUGCGAAGGCAGCUAACGAAACUAUAACUGACGCUGAGGCACGAAAGUGCGGGGAUCAAACAGGAUUAGAUACCCUGGCAGUCCGCACCGUAAACGAUGAUUACUCGUUGUUGGCAAUAUGACCGUCAGCGACCAAGCGAAAGCGAUAAGAAUCCAACCUGGGGAGUUACGCCGGCAACGGUUGAAACUUCAAGNGAGUUGGCGNGNGAGAGCGACGACGACGACGACGGAGGAGGAGG
rnacentral:rRNA from 1 species